UACGUAGGGUGCAAGCGUUAUCCGGAAUUAUUGGGCGUAAAGAGCUCGUAGGCGGUUUGUCGCGUCUGCUGUGAAAAACUGGGGGGCUCAACCCCCCCAGCCUGCAGUGGGUACGGGCAGACUAGAGUGCGGUAGGGGGAGACUGGAAUUCCUGGUGUAGCGGUGAAAUGCGCAGAUAUCAGGAGGAACACCGGUGGCGAAGGCGGGUCUCUGGGCCGUAACUGACGCUGAGGAGCGAAAGCGUGGGGAGCGAACAGG
rnacentral:rRNA from 1 species